rnacentral:rRNA from 1 species
GACGUAGGGCGCGAGCGUUGUCCGGAUUUAUUGGGCGUAAAGAGCUCGUAGGCGGUCUGUCGCGUCUGCUGUGAAAACCUGGGGCUUAACCCCGGGCCUGCAGUGGGUACGGGCAGACUAGAGUGCGGUAGGGGAGACUGGAAUUCCUGGUGUAGCGGUGAAAUGCGCAGAUAUCAGGAGGAACACCGGUGGCGAAGGCGGGUCUCUGGGCCGUAACUGACGCUGAGGAGCGAAAGCAUGGGGGAGCGAACAGG